AACAAAUAGCACUGUCACUAAGGUUGAGCUAACAAAUAGCACUGCCACUAAGGUUGAGCUAACAAAUAGCACUGUCACUAAGGUUGAGCUAACAAAUAGCACUGUCACUAAGGUUGAGCUAACAAAUAGCACUGUCACUAAGGUUGAGCUAACAAAUAGCACUGCCACUAAGGUUGAGCUAACAA